CCACGUUUAUCAAGUUCCUCCAGUUUGGGCGUUUGCUGUGACACUCGGCUGAAUUUGCAUAACCGUGAGGGGUUGCUAUUUGUUUUACAUUUCGUGUGCUUUUAUCUCUCCAUCUAAAGUCCUGAGCUUUAACAUCAGCCCCCUUGGCUUAUGUUAGAAGUUAUCUGACAAGACCAAGGGUCCUUUUUAACUUCUCUGUAUGGAUGUCAUCUACUGGCCGUUAGCACUGGCAGAAUUCUUAGCAUGAAAAUAUUAUUAUUACUUCUGUAUCAGCAGAGAUGUGUGUGGCACUCUGAAGAAUCUGCCAAGAUGAAGUCUGUGCUUCUGCAAGCUCACAGUCUGCCGUCCUGAUCCUGUAACUUACCCUGCAUGGUCCCUUCCUCAUGGAAACCUAAGCAAUCAAGAUCAGGACUUUGGGACAGUGACACAUGGAGGGAUCAGGUAAGGUUUAGGAUAGUCUGAUUGGUUUGGUAGUUAUUGGGUGGGUGUUUUGUUGGUCUGAAUUCUGUACAAAGCUCUAAAACUUGCUCCUUUUCUACAUCACAUUAUUUUUAGACUGGUUGAGUAAAAGUAGGAAAAAUCAGACCUCAGCCAACUGUAGACCUGCUUGUAAAUAAUGAAACCUACUGAAACACCAAAGGAUUAGACACUCUUUAUGGCUGAAAAGAUCUGAAGCACAACCCCCCUCAAACUGCAAUAAAGUAACACGGACUGUCAGCACUGGCUUAAUUAUUCUGCUGGCAUUCCUGCAAUUCGUAAGCAGCUUCUGCAUUGCAAAUGUAAGCAGCAAUCUUUCAAAAAAUUUGGCUAGCUGUUUGGUAGCAACUUCAAAAGGAACUGUGACUGUGUUGUCAAAAGCUUCUAAUCAGUCUAUGCCAUAGUGUCUUAAAUUUGGCGACCCCAUCAUGCAAAAAGGAAAGCUGGGACAUAGGUAUUAAGCAAACAUAAAUAAAGCAAACAGAUCAGAAAGCAGUGCAGUGAGCCAACGUCCAUCUUAUAUGUUGGAUCACAAAACUGAAAAUGCGUGAGGACCUGAUGAAAUGUUUGAAAACUGGAGAGGUACUUACUGUGAGAAAGUUGUAGCCCAAUCUUGGCCAGCUGACCCAUCCUUAAAAAUAGAGCGGCCUUCUUAAAACUUACUUCUGGCACUCAAAGGCCUCAUGGUUAGAGCAGGUGUUAUCUGUUGACCAGGAUGGCUGUAUCCUCCUUUUUCUGCUUUUGAGAUGGUACCUGGGAAGGACAGAAAUAUAUGCCUGAAAGGAGCUGGCUGUGUGCUACGCGCAGGUUGGAUAUCAGGCUGGUGUGACCUGCCACCUUCACGAACCAACGGGCUGUUUGGUUCUUAGUGAGAGCUUGGACUAAGCACUUCAGUACCUUGGCUUCUCUGGGCGACCAUGGAAGUAAGUGCUGACAAUUUAAAUUGGUUUUCUAGAGCACACAGAUGCCCUAGGAUGGAAUUUAUUGAUACUAGGGCAGUAUUCUUCCCAUGCUUUUUGUCGUAAAAUGCGAAGCAGAGAAAACAACUGACUUCUGUGUAGAAUCCCUCCCUUCCUUUUUGGUUGUUUCCAGAAUGGUGUUUGUUAUGAGACUCUGCCAAGUCUCAGAGGAGAGAAUGCUGGGCUGCCCUCAGAAGCUUCCAGCAGGCCUGGUAAUAUCUGUCGUCAUGCUGUAGAUCUUUUCCUAGUCAAUGUCUCCUACCUUGGGCAGCAUGUUUUCGAUAAAAGCAGGUGUCUCCCUGAUUUUAAAUAAAAGUUUUAAGAAAAUGGAUUGCAGUCUCACAACCAGCAGUGGCUCAGGCUCAGCUUCCUUCAUGACCUCACCUUUACUGUUCAAAUUCUGUUUACUGUUCAAAUUCUGCCUCCCCAACUUCUGGUUAUGUUCCAGAUCUUGCAUGCUUGAUCUCAGGGGGUGACAACACAACCUCUGCUGUUGAUUGAUUCAGGAGGGACUUUGUAAAUACUCUACAAAGUAUUCAUAGGUCGUUGUAGCAUUCGUAGUCAUCAAAGUAUUCCUAUAGGUUCUCCCUCUGGGCUUUUGAGGAAGGGCUGCUAUAAGACUGAUUUACUGGAGCAGCAUGCAUUAUAUUUGUUUUGGGGAACUUAAUUGCAUUUUCCUUUCUUCGCAAAGAAGGUUAUUUUUGCUACUAUCACAGAAUAUCACCUUCAUUAAUAUGGCUAUUUAGGGCAUAAACAGAACAGCUGUGCUCCUGGGAAGCCUCACAGGAUCCAGGGACCAAAGACACGGAGCUAAUGAUUAGCUAGACAUACCAUUCCUUGCGCCAGGGCCAAAUGCAAUCUUCUGCUAAUCACCUUUCAUCUCAUUUAAGGUGCGAUAGCGGUCAUAUAUUUCCAGUGGGAAGUGCAAGAGCAGAAAGCACUUUGCCAAAAGGCAGAGUUCUGUGGGCGGUCUUGGAUUCCUGAUGCAAGGCUUCUUCCAUUGCUUCCCAAAAUGAUGGUCUCUUCUGGUAGAGUUCAGGCACUAGGACCGGUUUUGCUUCCUAGAUAAGCAGGGUUCUGCUGUGGCCAGAACUUUCCAGCUUCACAUCUCUCAGUGAACAUCAGAAUUCACAUGGACCAAGCUGCUUUUUCUUUUCAACUUGCCACGUGAAGGUCACACAAAAUAAUCAAUUUGCUGUCCUUUGCUGGGUGUCCUCCAAAGGUUGAGUGCCUUUCUUUUGCUCUUUGAGGGACUUUGUAUUUCGGCUUUUCUUUUUUCAGUGUUGAAAGGCUAACAUUUGUGUUCUUUUCAGAAUAAAAAGGAAAUGUGUCAUCAGCGAGGCACUUAAUGGAGUUAAAAUGUAGGGGCUAGCGUCAGAGCACGUGGUACUGAGGUAUUUGGUCCGAUGCGGUUGGGUAUAAGGCAUCAGCUCUAGAUUCGUGCCCGUCACCUUGGAACAAGGUAGUUCCUGCCAACCCGUUGUCUUGCUGCAGACAUCCAUACGACAAUCAGAGAACGUGAUGAGGCUGCUGUAGCUCUGUGUGUGGCAGCAAUGGGCAACGUGAAUCUGCAGGCCUUGGUGUAAACACCAGCUUUUCACAGCAAAGCCAAGUUGGUCUUAAACUUCCUUUUGGGGGCAUUUUUCCCUUUUCGCCUUGCCUUCCUACACCUACAUUUUAUAGACCAAGCAGUUUUGCAGUUGUCAAGCUCGGCUGUAAAACGCUGAAAGGAAACUCGGCCCCAUUUUCACAUAGGUGCCUGCUGCGCACACAGGCUCAGGGGAGGAGAGCUGUGGAAGCUUGCAGAGCCCCAGGUAUUCGGGCUUGCCAGAGCCUGUGCCGCUAGAUGGCAAUGUGGUACUCUCGGAGCUGGGACUCCCUGUCCCUGUAAAAUUCUUGCUUUUUCUGUAUUUAUCUCUGCCAAACUGAUGAUUGCACCCACCACCCCGGCAAGAGAACAGAACAAAAUCAUGUCAUAGAACAUUACAGCUGUUGUGCCUCUUUCUUUUCUUUCUUUUUGCCUUUUUUUCCCCCUUAGUUCUUUGUCCCACAGCAGGGUGCAGAGGUUUAAAAACCUUCUUUCUUAAUCGCUCGCCUUCUAAAAACAGAGAAAACACAGCCUCUUGGGAGCAAUUAGCUGUGAGAAAAGCAUUUCUCAAACAAUUGCCAGGAAAUAUUGUCUUGACCGAUAUUCCUGAUGUAACACUGUCGUUCUCAGUACUGUUUUUCUAAGAUACUCGACUGCAAAAACAGCAGGGUACGGAUCUGUAAUAUAUGAUCUGCAGUUUAUCACCUACCUUACCUUUUUUAUAUCCAUUUACUUUCAGUGUUUGUCCUCCCUGCAGCCCCCCCCCCCUUCCCUGGAGCUAUUCUGCUUAGGAGAGUGAAUAAUUAUUUGUAACUCUCCUCUGCUGACUGGUGUAUCAGGCCAAGGCUCUGACAAGACACGGCUGAAAAUUAAGGUUAUGCCUCCGCUGUGCAGGCUCCAGAUUGAAAUUCUGUGGCAGUGUGCUGUGGAGGAGGUCAGGCUGCAUGAUUACAGUGAUCCCUCUUGGACUCAAAACCUGGCAGCCUCGGUGUACGUGAGGUUGGUGAAGCCUGAAUUUCAGCGGGAGCAGCUUGAGAGCAGGUAUACGUGAAGCAGGCGGCAGCUGUACACCGAAACCAGGGUCCUGAGCCUGGAGGGCCUCUCCCCAUCACUGUAUUCAUGGAAGAUGGACUGGGCUGCAGGGUGCAAAGAGGUCUGAGGAACAGUGGUAAACUUCUAGCAGUGAAAGCCCAAAUCAGCAGCAGCUAGGAACCACUGCUAGCUAGGUAGGUAGAUAUGCAUACACCCAUGCCCAUUCACAUGCACAGCCAUACUUGUUCUUAUUGCAAGGCUCAAAUUUCGUCCCUCUUUACGUAAAUUCGUGGAGAUUUGAGAAACGAGCCUCACUCUGUGGGACAGGGUGUGAACUGAAGCACCUUCUGGAAGACAGACAGCAGUGUAAUCCUUUCAUUCAACCCUGUCUGCAGCUGCUUUUUAUAAACUUGGCAUAAAUACGUACUCAGUGAGGCCAGGCCUGUGUAGCUGGAAAAUAUUUUCCACCGUCCAAAAAAACAGAAGAUUGGAAAAAGAGCCCAGAAAUUGUGCAUAACAUGGAAUGGCUUCGCUUGUGGUUUUUUUCCAUGACUUCCUCAGCUCAUUUUUCUGCUGCCAAUUUUAGAAGCCCAUAAGUCAUACUUGUUAAACUUUCUCAGUUAAAAUGUAACUCGAAGAACAAAGUCAUAUGAUAUGUUGAAGCCAAAUAAUCGUUGCGGAGCCUCUGACUUGAGAACAGCUACCCCGACUUGGCCAGCUUGCAGUCCUGCAGGGGCUCCUGCCCCAGGGCAGGCAGGGCCAGGGGCAGGUGAGCAGCGUGAGGCAUGACUGUGUGUCCCCUCCCAGACCAAGACCUCAGCAAGGAUUUCUCCCUACUUUCGCUAGGAUAAUCAGGCCUGUGGUGUAUUAUGUUGCAGAGCAGUUGUUUUGGAAGGGGAGAAGUUUCAGCUCCUCCUCUAGAAGCACUUUAAAUAGGAGGUGAAGCAGAAAAGGGAACGAGAGGAGGCAGCACAGAGACCAGCGGGGUCCAGCAGUUGAGAAGCUGAUGUAGGUAGGAGCUGUUGCCAUCAGGGUAAACUAGCUGAGGAGUGAGGAGAGAGAGAGAAUGCCAAGAGAGAGAGUGAAUUUGCUGGAGGGUUUGAAGAAAGGGCAUCCGCACUUCAGUGCAUUUUUAAGUGUUGAAUCAAUAUGGAAGUACUCGUGUGCCAGGAGCAAUAUUUUUUUUUCAUUUGCCAAUUUUGCUCUCUUAUAAGGUGAUUGUGCUCACACCCGAGCCCUGAAUGGUUGUCCUAAAGCACCAUCUCUUUGUUCAAAUUCUGCUCUGCUCCCUCCCACAGGACAAGUCCCAGGUCACCGCUGUGGAGGGGAGUUGCCCUAAAUUUACAUUUGGGCAAUAGCCGAGGGUGGAAUUUGGCUGUGGGCUCUGCCAGCGGCGCUGCUCCAGUCAGCCUUGUCUGAGGCAGCGCGCGCAUCCCUGGUGCUGUCAGUCCCAGCCUGCGCCUCUGGGACCCGGUGCCUCAGGAAGGCAGAGAACACCGGUCUGAGCUGCCUGCGGGGAGCACGGCAGGGGGAAGAGGUCAGCAGGGGCUUUGUAAUCACUGGGAAGGAGCCUUCCAGCCCUGCCUCCUGGUUGUGCUGGAAAGGAGCAGCACAGAUACUUGCUCUCUGCAAAAAAAUAAAAGUGUGUCUGUGUUUCUUUCCCCUAAAUAGCAGCUUGUGAGUUUGGUUCUGGCCCUCGCUGUAAACUGGGAAAUGGCACCAAAAGCCCGCCUUUCGAUGGCAGGGUGAAAUGCCCUUUCAACAUCCGUGUGGUCUCCACGGGAAGGGAGGAACUGAACAAACCCACUGGAAAUCAGCAAGGGUGUUGUAAUGUUUUUUUGGAAAGCCAGUUUCAAAACCCGGUGGCUGCCUCGCUCUCUUCUGGCAGACGCUUCCUGUGCCAUGACAUCCAGGGAGGUGGUGGUGACUGAUGUAACCGCGGUGGCCGGGCAGAGUCACUUGCCCAAUGUGCUGAGGCUGGCAGGUGGCCAGAGAAAUGUGCUAAGGCCUUGUUUUCUCACAAUGGGCUCGCUGUCCCUGUGCACAUACCUAUAACUGGGUCAGGUGCUUGGCACGGCUGCCUUCCAAGCCGAUUAAACGAGGCGGCGGAGUUACCCACGCCAGAAGAAGAGGAAGAAAAAGGAAGAAGAUUUUGCUCUUGUCCCAUGUGAAUGCAGACCUGAUGCAUCUCUAGGCACGCUUUGUUUGCAUAACAAUGCUGUAAUUAAUAAUGAUGCCUGCUCGUUGAAGCCAGUUCUCCGUGUUAAUGGUGGGAGGCGUUGAGGAGAGGGUGAGGAGAGGCCUGGUAGUGUUUUUGCUGGAUCACCACCUUUAGGUUAUUGUGACAGACUUCUGAAAGGAUCUCUUUGUAUGAACGGGAACAUAAUGCUCAGCUGGGCUCUUAAAUUCUGUCUCUGUUGAGAAGAGAGAUCCUUUCAUAUUGAUUGUCAUUCUGUAUGCAGUUCAGGCACCGACUUGCAGGAAAUCUGGGCCAGAAGAGAUAUCAUUAGGUAUUUAUGGGGGUUUGGUUGGCUCAGCAGUCAGUUUUUCCAUUGUCAUGCCGUGACAGUAGUGCAUUACAUACACCCUCAGGAGACAUCCUUCUGCUUCCACAACAAUAAAGGACUUUUUUCUUUUUCUGACUCAUCUUCAGCAUGAAAAAAAACCCACAGUAAAUAUAAUUAGCAACAGGCAGAUAUACUGUACUUAGCUCUCGGAGCCCAUUGGGAUAGCUCUUAUAAAAAUAUAUGUUCGUGGUUGCUCACCCUAUGCUUAAAUGUCCUGAAGUUUUCCUUCAGCUGCAUUCCUGGUUAUACUUAGAUGUUUUAAUGUAGCCUAGUGAGGUUGUAGGCUGAGGAACCAUUUCUAGCUUGGAUUAAGAGGAGGAAUACAUUUGAUGCCGGGAUUGUGUUUCAUGCACACACGGGAGCUUGGGCCAGACUCGCAGCGCAUGAGGCAGCACAGUGAGUGCUGUGCUGUGCUGAACCAAGGUCCGCUUAGCUGUCCGUACUGCAGAUGCUGCGGGAAGGAGGACAAAAAGCAGAGCAAGUCUGGACUGAUGCUGCCCCACAGUUCCCUCCUGGCUCCCAGCACCCACCGAGGGAUGAGGAAGGAAGCAGCCAUCGCCUCCAUCCUCCUGGUCCCCCGGUCCCUACAGCGCGGUGGCCCCUGCUUCCUUUGCUCUGUGCGGGAUGGAGAGCGGCCCCGGGUCUGCUCUGCUUCACCUCAGGUCCACGUGGUCACAGGAGGAUUUCUAGGUUAAAUGUGUCCUGGCCCCCACCAGUGUUUCCCUGAUGUAAGUGCGAUGGAGCAGGUGGCGUGCAGCUGGGCUCUGCCUUCUGCCAGGUGGGUGUUCCCUUACGCCUGCCCCGUUAGGGGCUGCCUCGCGUCCCGCCUGUGCCAUUGGGCUGCCCGAAGCCAGGAGCCGGCCUUUGGGCCCAUAUUUCACCUCAGGGUGCGGGCUGACGCCAGUCACAUGGCUGCGAGCGGGCCAGCUCCGAGAUUAGUAGGCCUCUGUUUAUUUAUUUAUUUCAACCUGUGACUAAGAUGGGGGAGUAUUUGGAUGCGAGCCGCUCCUCCCAGAAAAGUACUGUUUAUAUUUCGGUCUCCUGAGUCGAGUCAGUCGGAUCUGAAGUGCUCGCAGCCCAGCAGCGGUAUGCGGGAUCUGCUGCCAUGUCCCCGCGUAACCUGGCAUCAGCGCUGCCGGACAGAGCGUGGGCUGGCUGUUUGCUCAUCCCGAGCUUACGUGGCCACGAGUUUUCCUCCGUGUUCCCGAUUGCUGAGCUCAGAGGGGCGGAGGAGAGGGAGAGCAGGCUUCCAUCUGAAAGCAGCCAGGUGUUGCGUAGGGCCGUACCGGGGGUUACGCUGAGGAGAACGUGACCACGCGGGUGGGGUGAUGGCUCCGCAUCCACAGGCAGCAUUGCAGGGCUCACCUGCGCAGCAUGUGUGCGGCACAGUCACUGUGAGGGCUGUGUGCAAGCAAGUCAGUACCUGCUGGCAUGUGAUCUGCAGAGAUGCUUUUAGAAAUGUGUGAGGGUGGCAUGAAAACACAAGUCAGCUGAAAUAUCUUUAGCUUGUAGGGCACCUGUGGACUAAUAGACGAAAGCGAAACAGCAUACAGAAACUCCUCAAAUAUCGAGCUGCCAUUUAUUUCCACUAUCUCUAUCAAAUUUCACCUGCAUAAGCAGCUUAUUUCUUUGAGAUCUGGUAAAUUCAAGCCCCUGGCUCUAGACACACCUAAUUUCUGGGGGAAGAACAGAGACAUUUCAGUCAGCUUCUAUGGAAAAUGAUUUCCCAAAGCUAGGGUCUUGUUCCCUUUGGGGGCAAGGCACAGGGAAAGAACUAGCUGAGAGGCAUAUGGGGCCUGGGGCUUUAAAUAGCGCCUGACUAGGUUCAGGAGCUGACUGCAGAACUAAUGAGACAUGGGGAAAUAUGAGUUCAUUUUCUUGAGCUGAGGGAAAUUUGGAGAAUCCUGUUCCCAUAUGUCAUCAGUUGCUAAAACAAGUCUACUGGAAAUGUAAAAAGUCUGUCUGUCUGCCUCCACUCCUUGCCCUAUAGCAAUAUAAGUCGUACAACUUCAUCUGAGUUUUGUGAUAAAUAAAUGAGCAAUCCUGCCUCCAAAGCUCUCUGUACAUCCUUGCUCCAGGCUUGUACCACAGCAUAGGGUUGCACACUGUCAGGGAAGGAUAUUUUCUCUGCGUAGCAUGUCAUGGUAUGUUCACUGGUCACAGCAUUGCCCGUGGGGUGAAAAAUGGGCCUGGACUGCUCUCAAGCCAUCAGUCUUGCGCAUUUUCUGUCUUAGCACUCUAGUUCUGUAGUGUAAUGCCUGUACAGCUAAUGAUCAAGGUCAGGCCUGUUGGCCUUCUGCCAGCAAACUAAAACCUCAUGUUUUUCUGAGCUGAGUUUAUAAACAGGGCACGGGCUGAAACUUCUUUUAAGCUGCCAUGGCAAGGGCUAGAAAACAGGAUGCCAGCUCCAGUGCAGUACGUGCCAAGAGUGGUGCUUAUGGAGUUAUUUCUAGAGGGGAAGACCUCAACAUCCUAAAUCAUCAGUUUAGCCAUGGCUAAAACCCUCCAGAGAAAGGGGACUGUGGAAGCUUUCACUUGUGUUGGUGGUUCCUCCUGGUCAGGCCCACCAGCAGUGGGGCUGUGGGGCAAGUUUGUGUGGCGCUUGCCUGUGUUCAGUGAAUAGUCUGCAGGCUCCAAGCUGCCUGUGCCUUCCUGUUGUGAGCUUCUCAAACUAUAUUUUCGGUGGGAAGUAACUGAGCGAGAGGAAGAGCAGCUUUUGGCUUUUUCUCGGGGAAGAAAGACUCAGAUCUUGCUCAGAGCUGCUGACUGAGCCAGGUUUGAUCUUGGCAACACCAAAGAAAGAUGGGGUAUUUCCAAAGGAGGCAAAGAAACCCAUGUAAAACCAGUGUAAAUGAUACUAGGCUUGCAGGGUUCUGUUCUCUAAAUAUGAGCAAUCGUGAUCUGUACUGAGCUCCGUGGGAGGCAAAGGUAUGUCAGUCUUGGGGUGAAUGUUUUUUUUCUGCUGCUUUAGCACAAUGGGGAACCUCGGGGAAGCCUUCCUGAGUGAGCUGACUGCCUGCUUGCUGUCUGACUUACAGCCUCUGGCUCGUGCUGACGCACAGCCCAGAGUAGGCAAGUUUUCUUGAUGUGUAGGCUGGGGCUUCCAUUCGGGUAAAACAUGCAAACUAUCUUUCAGGGAGAAGGAAUGGGGUUGGGAAGAGGAAACUCUGCUCGGCUUAGUUUGCAUUACUGAAUCACGCAACUUGCUCUGCCUAGGCCCGGGCUUCCAGUAGUUUCGGAUUUCAGCUCAGCACGGCAUCAAGUUUGUGUCCUAAAGCUGCUCUAUGGUACUGAAGAGCAAUUAUUGAAACGGAUAAAAUGGCCUGAAAUAAAACAGGGAAGAAAACAGCUCCCUCAGCAGGCAGGCGACGAAUGUAGCUGUCACCCUGGCUUCAUUCGUUGUGGGCUGGGUGACAGUUUCAGCUCUGAAGUCAGUGACAUUCAAAGCCCUUCUCUGAGGGUGAAGGGAUACAGGAUGAGAUCUAAUUUGUUCCUCACAGGGCAUCACUUUCUGGCAUUCUUUUUCUUUUUGGCAAGAAACUAUGGGUAAUGUAUGUCAUUGUCAUCAAAGACACAUUGAUGUUACUGUCACAACUGUGACCUUGUAUCCAGCUAAAAGAGGUACAGCGGGUGAUGGUGAGAUGCUCAGCUUACGUCCACAGGGCAGAUUUUCCAAGCAGCAGCUCUGUUGGCAGGGCCACCUGCCAUGCUGUCUGGCCACGCCGGUGCCAAGCGAUUCUGGGAAGAUCUGGGCCGUGACGCCACAGACCAGCAGCAACGGAGGUGGAUUCCUGGAAGCCGCGGUGCAGGGCGCUGGGGGAGCACCGCUGCAGGACAGCCGGGGCUGGGAGGAGGGCUCCGACCGGUCACACCCACACAUUGCAGGGCCCUGUCCAAGCAGCAGGCAGCAACCUUACCGAACCAGUCCCAGAAAAUUGGCUGCCUUGGCCGGGAGGAAACAGCGUUAGCUGUCACAGCUUUCACUCAGAAUUAGCUAUGAGUUGGCCAGGCAUAAAUUGCUUUUGGAAUUAGUCCUGCCAGCUGCAUUACCAACAAAGCAAAAAUUGUCUCAGGAGCGAGGCUCAGGGUUCACACACUUAAACCCUACCUGUCACAAGGUUGCUAAACUCUUCCCCAGGGCUGGUACUACAAUAUUUACCGUAUUGGCAUGCUGUCUUUUCUGUUUGACUGCCGCAUGAUCGUAUUAUAACAUGUCCUGUUGACAGGACUAAACUCAGGUCAAACUGUGUAAAGAGAUAACAGUGGCCUUGAUCACUCCAUGGUGAAACCAGAGUAAAUUACUGGAUGCCGAAUGAGUUAUUUCAUGUUUAUUUCAGAUUAAAUAAGAUUAGAAUCUGGCCUUCAGAUCAUGUUAUUUCUCUAAUUCAACUGGGUCAUAUUUUUAAAUUCACGCGGUGGUCAACAUGAUCCAGUAAGUGCCAGCACACAGUCCCAGCACCUGCAAAACAUCGAAUGUAUAUAUUGGCACUUUCCGUAUUUGCUGACUGCAGGACAAAUAGGUUUCAUAUUGGGACAUCAAAGUCUGUUUCAGCAACUGGAUGCAUGACAAAGCCAUGUUAUAAUCUGGGUACUGAUUACAGCAGUGGAACACGUCGGCUCAGCACGUGGUAAAUUUGGAUGUGCAGAUAGAUAAACUUUUUAGUGGCCUAUGGCUUGAUUUCAGCAUGGAGAAGGUUGUCAGCAUAUUUGUGCUAAUUAAGGAAACAGCAUGGGAAACUUCUUUACAGUGUAGGUACAGCCAGAGCUCAGGAAAUAUCACUGCUUUUCGAUGUUUUUUAUAUUUUUUCUGUAACAGCUAGCUUGUCUUCAAGUAGAGCUGCAGCUUUGUGCCUCAGCUGCAUUUCUAAACUGCACUGAAGCUUGUUUGGGUCUUGUGUUUUCACUUGUUUCUGGGGAAUGGAUUGAACAGUUCAGUCACAAGAACAUUAGGAGAGCAACCGACAUUUUCUCUGUGUUUGGGGACAGCGGUGCAGGGCUGGAUUCUCUGGGUUGGUUGUACUUAUUUGCAAUGUUGACAGUAACUGAAUACCAACAAAUAAACCCAAGUUUGUGCUUGUGCUAGAAAUACUUUCAUACUAUUGAAAAUAAUGCUUUUGCCUAACAGUUACCUUUAUUUUCAUGCUGGUAUUGUGGAUAUGUUAUACUGCUUUUAACAUAUUCCCAUGUUCAAGUUCCUGAGAAGGCUGAAAUGUUGCCAACUAUGUUAAGUCCUUUCUGUUGCACUGAGUCAGCCGCCGUGAUUUUACCUUUGCUCUUGGUCAAAGUCUUACGCUCCAUUAUCUUUUUGUUCUUUUUCUAAACAUAAGAAAUUGCAGUACAAGUGCUUGUUCCGUGUGCUAACAUUUCCUUCUUCUCUAAUGACAAAACCAGCACAUUACUUUUAUUAUUAAUAAGACAGGAACACCUAGAAACCCUUGAUGUUUUCCCAAGGGAUUCCCAGCCGAAAUAUAAACGACAAACAAAAAUGGGAGAAGUUAAGUGCCUUUAUUUGCAUUUCUGAACAGGGAAAUGAGGUGCCCAAAAUUAAAGGGGCACUUAAUACUUCCUUAUUUAAAGGCCAUAGAAAGAAGCAUGCCCAAGAAUAGACGUGGGAUCAGUAGGUCCCUCUUCGCCAGGGGGCCCUGACCACAUUUCUGCUCACCGGCCCCAGCAGCACCCAGGCCAGCACAGCCUCGUGUCCGUGUGCCCCUCCGCCUGAGCUCAGGGCAGCAGCCCAGCUCUCUGCCAGCACCUUCACUGGGUCAGCACGCUUCUCCUGUUCCCCGUGCAAGGUGCUCCCAGGGCUGCUGGCCUCCUGCUCCUUCCUCCUUACCAAGAGGGGAAGAACUGCUGAGCUGACACCUGCUUGUGGUGGCUACCUGCACUGACCAGCGAAAGCCUCCAGAACGGCAGCUGCUGAGAAAUGACUGCCGUGUGUAGGAGCUCACGGCAGACCUUUCCCAAGUGCCAGUCCAUGGGAAGAGCCUCGCAGCUCCUACAAGUCAUAGGUGGAGCCGGUUACAACCUGACUUACCUUCCUCGGCAUUUUGAAGUCUGGUGAAACAUGAUGCAUAAUGACAUUACUCUGCUUUUGCAAGUAGGAGACUGCCUUUAUGCAGGAGUGUCUCAUCUGUGAACCUCACCUCAAUGCAUAGUGCUUAUUCAGAUAUAACCACGAGAAUGAGGCCUGGCUAAAUAACGCCUCCAACUGAAAGGAUCCACUGAAGCCCAUUAUAAUGAUCUUAAUGACUUCCAAUUCAGCUGUGCCUGUGAUACCAGAGUGCAAAGGUAAUUAUGGAAGUGCUAAAUACUAUUAUUACUUGAUAUUAGCAACAGGGUGGGGGUGAGACCUGGCAAACCCUUCCCCCACCUGGCCCAGACACGAGUGAGGGUUACCCCUUGCCUCCAGCCUCCCGAGGGCUGGGCAGGCGAGGUGGGGCCAGGCCUGGCUGUCCCGUCCAGCGGCCUGGGCUUCGCUGGUGUCAGGAGGUGGCUCCUUCGUGCUGCAGGAGCCCUGCGGCACGCGCAGCGAGCAGGGAGAAAGCAGAAGUGUCCGCAUGCCACCCUUCCGGCCUCCAUCUUGUCUGCAGAAAAAGCAAACGUGCCGUCUGUCCUUCCCCUGAUGGUUUUGCUGUUCUUUCUCUCAGUUUAUUCUGUCUGUCCUGCAGCCCUCUGGUACUACCUGGCGUUGCUGUUUUCUCCCUUCAUGCUCUCUCUUCAGCUGGGCCCCAUACCUGGACGUGCUCCUUUGGCUUGCAUGGGGUUCCCUUCUCUGCAGUGUUGGUGUUUCAGACAUUGGAUAUGUAGCGGGGCGCUCACAGCCUGGCUUGGAGUGGGGUCCCGGACCAGGUGACCUCCUCAGGUCCCUCCUGGCCUCAGUGAUUCUGUGACGGGGGUCCCCGGCUCGCUGCCGACACCGAUCUAACCUGGAGAAGCGCCAACCUUGCGACAGGCGAGCAGGUUUUGAGGAAGCAGUGAUCACUUUGCUGGUUAGUGGUUUGCUGCCUGACUCCUGCCUAGUGCCCGGCCCAGCACAUCAUCUGCGGGGCUCUCUGUGCUGCCACGUCCGUGAUGCUUCACCGCAGGCAGCGGCCCCACGGGCCCCCCGGGCUGCCGGGCAGGACGGUGAGAGCCCGUUCGGUCGGCCUGGCUGAUGCAGGCUGCAGGCAGCUCUGCUCACUGCCGUGCCCGCCUGCGCCAGGAGAAACCUGUGCGGCGAUGAUUCACCCUCAAGUGAUUGCUUGACCCAGAGGAGGGCCUGAUGAUACACCGAGGCCGGGACACACCAGCCGUGAUUACAAGAUGAUUCACUGCCAUUCAAAACAUCCUCUGUGUUGCACAGGCAGGGCCGCUCGCGGAGGCUGCAAUAAGGAAGCGAUAUUUGCACCUUUAGCUGCCACGCUCCCACCAAGCCUUUCGGCCGCUGCCUGCAGCGUGGCAUUUUCUUCCCUCUGGCUGUGUUGACACCACAAAGGUUUGCUGGCAGGGGGCGACUCCCUGAAGCUGCCAUGUGGCUGCAGCCACGUGCCUCUUGCUGGUAAUGUCUGUCCUCGCCCCAGGAAGGUUUGGCCAGAAGCGUGGUGCGCCCGGGUGUCCCGGUGUCCUCACAAUGCCAUCCCGUGCAGCGUGGCAGUGCAUCACUGGACAUUAGCACUAAACUGAGGAGCAGGUGGGAACUCCGGUCCUGCAGUUCUUCGUGUUCCAGCACAUCGUUCUUCAGAGUCUUCCUAAAUUCCUUGCACCGGUAUUCCCACUUCCACUUAUCCCCCUGUCAGAAACCUGGAGCUCUCACAGCCCCAUUGUGCUUGUGUUCCCUUUAGGGAGGGCACGUAGCUUGCUGUCUGUCUCCAUUUUUCAUGCUGCUGUCUAUACUUUCCACCUUCCCAUUCCUCCCACAUCUUUGUCCUUCACUCUUCCUCUCCUCCAGAUGUGCUCUCGGCAGAUACCUGCUCUCGUUUGGUUUCAUCAGAGUGGUCCGAGUGCACUGACUGCAUUCAUCUCGUCCUGCAAAGUGCUUCCCACACAGCACACACAGAGCAGGGAAGCCCUGGGUGCCUGGCAGGUGCCACGUCUCCUGCCCCAGGAACUGAUAGUGCUUGUGGCAGCGUGCUGCAGGCACUGGUAGGUUCUGGGAUGUGGAAAACUUGCUCACAUUGGCUGGGACUUGCAAACAUGUCGGGGCUAAUAGUGAACACGGUUUGUACUGCGCUUUCCCUCAAGCUAAGUUGAGCAACCUUAGUUAGCAAGUUGGGCAUUAUUCAGAGCUCCUAAACCUCGGGGUUGCCAGUGACAGAGUUGCAAACUUACAGCAGGACGCUCCCGACAUUUUCUGCGUAGCGUCAUGGCCAGGCUCCAGCACAGGGGAGUUGUGCUCCAUCACAUCUCAUUCCUCAGCUGUCAUGCUCUGUUGCCAGCUCUGCUAUAUGGAUAACUAGGUGAGCUAUCUCUGGAAAACAAUCUAUUCAGUGAAUUUAGCCCUUGUUUCCUGCGGGGGAACUGCCUUCAAACUGCCUUUCAGAUGUAUUUUACGUGCAGUGUUAUUAUUUGCACUUUGUCUAAACAUGUGCUAGCUGUGGAUUCUCUGUGUGCUCUUGGAUAGAGCUGUGGUUUUAAAUACCCACCGCUGGUUAUUCAUAGUGCACAUUUAGUCAUUUAACAAACAUGGUAUUAGUUCUGCUCUCUAAGCUGAUGACUAAUACUCUUAUAAAUAGGAGGAAUGUGAUCUGAAAGGUCACGUGAAUGUUCCCAGCGUGAACAUAUCCCCAAACUAUGAGGCUUCUCAUUCCAGGAGCGUGCUUGUAAAAAAAAAAAAAAAAGAAAAAGCUCAUUAUUAGGAAGAAGAAAAAGGGUUAAAACCCACUCAAGCAGUUUAUGUGCUUUAACUCAAACAGAUUUUUGCAAUGUUUGCUUUUGUCUGCAAUCUCUGCUGAUGUGCUUGGGAAGAUGGGAAUUGCCCCAGUGGAACAGUCCUGAGUUCUCUCCCGUGCCAGCGCCCUCCCUUGGAGCAUAACAGGACCUAGAUAUUUUAUAAUACAAGUAAGAAACAUCCCCUAAAUUUCUUGACGGAAAGCAGGACAACUCCUAACACUGGAUUCCAAAGCAAAUGGGAAGAGUGCACGAUGCAAGUUUCUGCACGGCUUUCCUCAACUCAGUACCGUGGAGAGAAGAAGCCACGCUGCCUAGACUGCUGCGUGAAAACAAAAUAAGCGAAUGUUGCUGCUCUCCUGCCAUUGAAUGGUGUGGUUUAUGUUCACAGAAGAGAGGAAGGGUGGACCUGUGACCAGCCUGAACGGCUGGCCUGGCCAUCAGGAAGCACAGCACCGCCUGCCCCCUGUCUAUGACUCAGAGACCCGGCAUGGAGCAUCCGAGGGGCUUCUUCCAGAAGACCAGCCCCUGAGCGGUGGUCGAUCUCGAAGGAGGAUCUCUCGCCACCCACUGCUGACCCCUGGUAAGCCCAUCUAUGGACAGAGCCCGUCUCAUGGACAGAGCCCACCUCUGCUCAUGAGGGCACCCAGAUAUACGCAAUGCAGCAGUGGAGCAGGACCAGACCCCUGUCCGUGGAAGGAGGAGGUGCAGGGGGUGGCGGUGCUGGUGCAGCACCGUGUGUGGCUCUGCUCCGAGCCCUCGUCACUGUCACCACGAGCGGCCCAGGGGAUGCAGGCCCCUCACCCCACAGCCUCUGCACUCAGCAGGGGCUGGGUUUGGGGUUCAGAGGGUGACGGGGCUGGCAGCACUCGCUGCCCCUCCGCAUUUUUCUGCAGGAAGAAGUGUUUUCCUUUCUCUCUACGCUUCAUGUGGAGCUGUGCAAACAGCACUUGCCCCUGAAUGUUGAUACCUUCAAAUGAUUGUAUCAGCCUCUUAGGGAUUUAUUCACCCAAACUGCAAUAUUUAGUUAUUUAAUCUUUCCUUUAGUGAUUCAGUUGUUGUUCUGUACUGAACACCACCCAGUUUGCCAAUAUCUCUUUGGCAUGCGAGUGCCUGCAGAGAAAGGAACCAUCUUCCCUCUGCUCUUUUGUAUGAUGCUCUUCACCUCUCUGCAAGUCAAAAUCAGGCCAUCUUAUUUUAUAAACCAGCAUCUAAUUCGCUGCCUACUCUUAUCCCUGUGCUAGGCCCUUUUCAGCAGCUGCUGCAGGUUAUUUGUCCAAAUGUGUUUCCUUGCAUUGCCCACAUUCCAGGCAGGAGCUUUUAGAUGCUGUUUUCCUUCCCAAUCCCCUAUCUCAGAAAGAUUGUUUAUGAGACUGAAAUCAUAACAAGAAACCAAAGCUCAGGCACUCUUCCCUUCCUUGUUACUAAAUCCAAAAUGAUCCUUUCGGAAAAAGCAGUGCUUUGCAGGUUGUUAUUUCUGCAGCCUGGGAAAGGAUUUCUUCUCAUUUACAGCCCCGCUGGGUACUCACGGUGCUGUGCACUCAACAGGCUGAUGGGUGCUGUGGCUGUGAGCAAAGGACGGGGCUUGGAAAUGGAGAGCAAGGUUCUGCCCAGCCCUCUGCUGUUCUGGGCACUGAUGUGCUCUGCCUCAGCUCAGGCAGGGGUUUUAAGAGCUGAGUGUUUGGAUGGGUGAAAGCUUUGGAAUGAUAUAUGCACUUUGUGUGUGCAGGUGAUACUUCAUCUUUAUAUUCCAAGUGCAUUAGGACAUGAAAGAAGCCAAUUUCAAGGUAGUCUGCAAGUGACACACAAGCCCAGGCUGCAAAACACAUGCUGCUUGAAGAGCAUUCACUAAGAUGUCCAUGCAGAUUUUAUUUUCCUUAAGAAACCUUUUGAGCUAUUUCUUUCCUGCAGGCAACAGAGGUGAAAAUCCACUGGGUUUUGGACCUAACCUCCCAGCCAGGAGAAGGCAGAGGCAAAGGGGGUUCUGCAGGCAGUUCCCAGUACCAUUGCUUUAAGCAGGGAAGUGGAAGCUGCUCCAAAGCUGUGGGAGCCAACCUGGUUUGCCUGUGGCUGCCAUGUUAAUUUUUCUCCUUUUGAGGUCUGAAUCCUUUAAAUCUUUGUUUUAUAGGGGUGAAUAAAAACUGACUACAGCCUAUGGAGAGACCUGGAAGCCAUUUGGUGCAGAAGGAUCACAGAAAUCUGAGAAUGAAUGCAAGCUUUUAAACGGAAAAUAAUGUAUACAUUUAAAGAGCAGAACAUGCACAUAUAUUCACAAUGGCUGCUAUCAAGACCUCUGGCAGUUUCUCUGAGUAUUAAAGUCCUGGUCCUGGAGAUUUCUGCUGCCCCUCAGGCUUCUGUCCCUUUCUGUGUUGUUACUUGCAGUGUUUAAGCCCCAUUAAGUUUAAGUGCAUACAUUUUCUUUGGCUAUUCAGCCCUAGCCACUUUGGGAAGAAAUUGGCCAGAAUCCCUGAACCUAAAAUAAUCAAAUGUCUGUUUUUCCAUUGAAAAGGAUCCCAUUUAUCUGGCAAGCAGUGCAAAAUGGAAUAGGUAACUCAGUGCAAACAUUCUCCGAGAAACCUGUUGUUGCAAAACGAGGCAAGUGGCUUGCACAUAAGCAGAUAAGGUACCUUUACCAAUGCCCAGGUUGUUGCACUGCAUGUCAGUGUAUGUGGUUUCAUAAUAUGUGUGACUUUUAUUAUCAGCCUCUUGGUUUCUACCACUCUCUUUAGAAAUACAGCAGCCAUGAGCUGUAGCCCAAGGAGCACAGCCUUUCAGACACUCCUUUUGCGAGUAUCUGUCAUGCUCCCAGAGAGGAUGUCUUUGUUUCAGGAUUGUUCUGGGCAUGAGAAUUAAAAAUCAAAACGGAGAUGGUGGCCAGCAUGAAGAACCAGCCAAAGUUAUUUUAAUGAAUUUCUUUCCAUACCUGCCAAUCCGCCCUCCCCUGCAGGAAAAACAACUCUCGAAUGAAUAAAGCAUAUGGCAUGGAAGAUAGAGUGCCGAUGCCAAGUUUGUCUUUGCCUUAGCAGAACUGGCUGUAAGAUGCUGAAUCUGCAGAUCUUCCCCUGGAACAUGCUCUUGGAGAGAAAAGGGGAGGCACUUUCCCACUGUCGCUUUAGCCCGGCUCCUGCGGUCUCACUGUUCAAGUCCUCACGGUGCAGGACAGCGCGGGGCAGACACAGCACUGCCUUCCAGUUGGUGGAUAUCAGCAGGCAGCAGCAGCAAAGAAAGCCCAUCAGUGAAGUGGGCUAAGUAUUUGAGAGGGACCUGAAAACCACCUGUGUGCAGGUCACUGACUGCCCGUGAUGGCUGCUGUGCCGGCAGACAGGCGUGCCUGCUGCUGUGGGGUUUGACACCCUGCUCCUGGACAUGGUUCCUUAUCCCGUUGGGUCCAUGUCUCUGGGAAUAUUGGAGGACCACUGUACUGCAGCUGCCAAGAAGUGAGGUGUUCAGCGUAAGUCCCUCCAUCAGCACUUGUCCUCCAGUCAGCCACCUCCACAGGUUGCUUCCCGAUCCUAAAGUUGGUGUGGUGGGCUGUGAGAGAUGCCCUUCUCCCUCCAGGAUAAAACCCUGGAUGCCGGCUCAGUCUGUGGCCAGCCCUCACAGGUCAGUCUAUCCGUGCACAGCGUGGCCAGCUCAGCCCCGCCGGGUGAGGCUCCUGGGGGACACAUCGGUGGUGGGUCAUGAGGUGGUGCAGCUACGUGGGACCUCGCCACCACCUGCUCAGCUCUGCUCUGAAGGAUGUAAGAUGUCGGAGGGACCUUAGUUUUGGUGCCUCACAGAGGAAUGCCUCGCCAGGGUUAGGUGACAGCUGAAGAGGAGGUUUGAGUGUCUAAAUUUAGAAGUUAGGCAGCCAAGGCCUUUAUUGGGCCUAUCUCUGCUGGGACUGAAGCUGAGCAGAUUUAUAUAGAAGGAACGGAUUCCUAGCUAAGUUACUUUAAUCUUCCAGACAGCUAUGGAAAUGUUUGUGUUGUGUACUCUACGAGGCAUGUUUCUUCUACAGACCUGGGAGAGGAGGCCACCACGCUGCUUGGACGCUUGCCAUGGGGGGACACCAUGGGUUAGGAAAGGGGUUCUGCCCCCACAGGACCUUCUGAAGCACUUUGGCCUGGCGAUGAAGUCCCCGUGUGUGAGGAAAGCCUCUUGCUGUGGUUUUGUGAAGAACACGGUGGUGGACGAGAGCCUUCCCAGUGUGGAAGGCACUUUCCGACUCCAGCACCCAGCCCUGCCCCUGCAGCUCCACGUAUUUCAGGUCCCUGCGGACCUGUGGGGCAGGUGCUGGGCUAGGGGUGAAAUGGAAGUGCAGCUGCAAGCUCCUUAAGAGACCCUCUUUCUUGCAUCUGCAUCUCCUCGGUGAUUAAUCUCAUCUUCCAUUAAAGGUGCAGCAUGCCUCUUCCAGCCAGGCCCACGAGAAAGGAAGCACAAUCGUACACAACAGCCCUCUCCUCAUCAUGUUUCACGAACAACCUUGACCUGCACUGGAUUUUCAAGGGCUGGCUACACAAAAUUCCCAGGUUUACCAGCAGAAAGAGAAGAAAAAAAAAAAAAAAGUUGAUCAGAAGAUCUCAGUUGGGUACACGUCACAACUGGUUUUUCCUCUCUCCUGUUCAGCAUGGCAGACUGACAGGCUGCAAAAUAGGUCCAGCUGGAAAGAAGAUAAUUUUGUUCUGCUUUGCCCAGCCUCAUUUUUCAGCGCUGAAUGUCCAGUUGUGUACCUGUAUGAAACCUCUGAGGCCCUGGAGGCUCCACACAACGAUGAUUUAUUCAUUUUUAAUAGGCAAACUUUUGUCCAUAUUACAUUUCUCCGUGCCUUUUAGUCACUAUCCCAGACUAAAGCAACCAAGGGGAGAUUUAAAACAACCGAACUCUCCCCUCACACUUAGAUUCUGCCCAAAGCACCGGAGCAGCUGGAGCGUUUACAAAGUCUCCGCACCAGCAGGUUUGCUCUUCGCUCCGCGAGCGCUCUUCCCUUGUUGCACUGCCAUGCAGCAGGGCUGCUCCGCAGCAGGUCUCAGGGGGGCUGUGAUCAAAACGCACAGGCUGAGCAGUGUGGUUUUGCAGCUCUCUUCAGACAGCCUUGUGCUUUUUACUCCCACCCAACUCUAAAGUGGAAUUGCCUAUGAGGAAAUUGUGUAUUUCAUAAGAAAGGAAUGUUUUUCAUCCUUUCCCCGCAAUUCUGUGGCCAAGCCUCACUUAUAGUCCGUUAGACUUUGCACCCCCAUGACCUGAAUGCUCAUUUCUAAAGGAUUCCUGUUGUCCAGUUUCCCUUGGAUCCUGUGCUCGGCUAGCUGGCUGACUUCCUGCACCUUGGCUUCUUGGAGAGCACGUCAGGUAGCUCUGCAGGCCCUCCGGUGUAGAAGCAGAGGAUGCGCAAAUACCCUUUGUUCAGUGUCCUGUUACCACAGGCAGCUCCCCAUGGGCAGGAUCCUGGGGCAGACCAGGUCAGGGCAGGGUGAGCUUGGAACAGGCUUAUGAGAUCCCUCACUCGUGCUAUGGGCUCUGUGGCGGUGCAGGAAAACGAGCGGGACACGUGCCUGGCUGCGUGGGCACCCACGCCUCUGCGGCCCAGAGUCCUUCUGCACGCACCACUUCACAAGCCAGGGUGGUGCAUGAGGAGAAACCCUGCUCCUCUUUCACCUUCGACAUUUCCACACAGUACGAAAAACUCUUGGCCUUUCGCCAGAAGUUAGGAUUUUAUGACUUUUUUCUAUUUUUCCUUUUUUCUUUUUUUUUUUUUUCCCCCACACAGACUAAACAUUCACAUGUCUUAUCCUGUCCGAGCAGUUGUUUCAAUAGCUGUCCUGCCAACGGAGACACUUGGGUUUAAGUGGCUGAUCCUCUGCAACCAUGACUAUUUUUAAUGAAAGAUUAUGUCUCCGUAAGGCCAAAAUGUUUGUUAUCCAGCUUUGGCUUCUGAAAGAAACCCUGCAAAUGUUUCUGAAUCAGAUGUGUGUGAAAUGCUGUGCAAUUUCUCUAAUACCGAGGUGGAAAAUCUGUCCUUUCCCUAUUAAUAGACUAAAAAUCAAAACAGAGGUGGGGGGUUAAAGCCAAAUGGUUUCAUACACUAUGAAUUCAUCAGAGUUUCACAUUCCCAGCAAGGGGAAUAUUUGAAAGCAGAAGAAAUGAAUAGGAAUAAAUAAAAAAAAUGAAACCAAAUAAAUAUAUCU